UGAGGCUGUUUGUGUAUCCCAGAAUGGUUCGAGUUGGAAGGGACAUCAAAGAUUACCUGAUUCCACCCCUUGCCAUAGGCAGGGACACCUUCCACUAUCCCAGGC